AACUGCUCAGUAAAAAUUUACGUUUGUUUUGAAAGCUUAAAAAGAGUAAACUCAGUAGUUU
rnacentral:tRNA from 1 species